AGUGAACGCUGGCGGUAGGCCUAACACAUUCAAGUCGAACGGCAGCACAGUAAGAGCUUGCUCUUACGGGUGGCGAGUGGCGGACGGGUGAGGAAUACAUCGGAAUCUACUUUUUCGUGGGGGAUAACGUAGGGAAACUUACGCUAAUACCGCAUACGACCUACGGGUGAAAGCAGGGGAUCUUCGGACCUUGCGCGAUUGAAUGAGCCGAUGUCGGAUUAGCUAGUUGGCGGGGUAAAGGCCCACCAAGGCGACGAUCCGUAGCUGGUCUGAGAGGAUGAUCAGACACACUGGAACUGAGACACGGUCCAGACUCCUACGGGAGGCAGCAGUGGGGAAUAUUGGACAAUGGGCGCAAGCCUGAUCCAGCCAUACCGCGUGGGUGAAGAAGGCCUUCGGGUUGUAAAGCCCUUUUGUUGGGAAAGAAAAGCAGCAGGUUAAUACCCCGCUGUUCUGACGGUACCCAAAGAAUAAGCACCGGCUAACUUCGUG
rnacentral:rRNA from 1 species